rnacentral:rRNA from 1 species
GACGAACGCUGGCGGCGUGCUUAACACAUGCAAGUCGAACGGUGACCUUGAGAGCUUGCUCUUGAGUGAUCAGUGGCGAACGGGUGAGUAACACGUGAGGAACCUGCCCCAGACUCUGGAAUAACCCCGGGAAACCGGAGCUAAUACCGGAUAUGACAUCAGGCCGCAUGGUCAUGGUGUGGAAAGUUUUUCGGUCUGGGAUGGCCUCGCGGCCUAUCAGCUUGUUGGUGAGGUAGUGGCUCACCAAGGCGACGACAGGUAGCCGGCCUGUGAGGGCGACCGGCCACACUGGAACUGAGACACGGCCCAGAGUCCUACGGGAGGCAGCAGUGGGGAAUAUUGCACAAUGGGCGAAAGCCUGAUGCAGCGACGCCGCGUGAGGAAUGACGGCCUUCGGGUUGUAAACCUCUUUCAGCAGGGAAGAAGGGCAAGUGACGGUACCUGCAGAAGAAGCACCGGCUAACUACGUGCCAGCAGCCGCAGUAACAC